GGGGAUGCAAGGCUUCGACAGCGUGACCAACGAAGUGCGACUUCCCCGGUCCGGGAUUGUAGGAGUUCCCGUCACCCACUUCCUGCAAAACUAUCUGCAAACUACAAGCAGACAUUCGCCAGCCUCAAAGCUCGCUUUGCGAGCCCGGUGUUCGCUCCGGCAUUCGCCAUGGCUGCGUAAGUUCGCCUCUGCGCGAAAACGUCUCCCCAUGAUCCUCGCUAAUGGGAUGAGGCGUCACUAGCGGGGUGGGAUCAUCGCCUGAUGUGACGAUGACCGACGUAUAGCAUCAACCUUUGUUGUCUGUCCUUGAUUCUUCCUUAGGACAACGAAGUAACGGAAGAACCAUGACCGUACGGGUAUCCGCUUCGCACGUUGGACCCGGGUUCAAUUCCCGGCAUCUCCACCA
rfam:Candidatus Peribacteria bacterium RIFCSPLOWO2_12_FTLL_53_10 rifcsplowo2_12_scaffold_20650, whole genome shotgun sequence.